CAAGGUCUGGCAGGGGAGCUAUGAUCAGGAACGUGGUUUACCCAGGGGGAGGCUCAGCCAUUGCACUCCAAAUGGGGGAAUCUCGACUGUAUCAUUUCUGCCAGCGGGGGACUGCAUUUACACUCUCCCCUA
rnacentral:snRNA from 1 species